GGUGUGUUAAUGACUCUUUCCAUAGCCCAGCUAUCAAUCACCCAAUGAUUGGAGCUUGUAUUGGCAACAGCUCCAGGGAGGGGGUGAACUUGUUGUUCUUUUCCAUCCAGAUUUUCACUUUUGUCUUUUUUUCUCUUCAUUUUUGAAUCAGUUUAAGUUCAUUUGUCAUUUCUUCCAAAUCAUUUCACCCACCAGUGUGAGACAAUUCUUCUUGGGGCAUCACAUUUGUGCAAAUGGUUGGAAAUCCAUGUGCACAAACACAUACACAGGAACAGGAUCCAAACCCCCAAUCUGCAUCUGAAAACAGGUGCAGAGCUUUUCCUUGCUUCCAUGACUCGGGUAAAUGUCUGAAGCCCCAAAUUCUGUUCCAAGUUUGAAGCCAACCUGGAAGCAUCACAUGUUAGAAUUGAACCUGAGCAUAGUCUGAUUAUGAGACUUUUAUCACAGCUGUGGGGAAGGAGGAAUCAGCCGGUGUCUUUCAUUAGGGUAAAAAAUACAUUUGUUUUUUUGCAUUUUAUUCUUGUAAUUGGACUGGACAACAAAAGGGAUCUUCAACAACAAUAAAAAGACGAGUCCUUCCA